GCAAGUAUAGUUUAAUCAAAACAUUAGUCUGUGAUCCUAAAAACAGAAGUUAAACUCUUCUUACCUGCCAAGGGGAGGU
rnacentral:tRNA from 1 species